AUGUGGAUGAACUGCAGGAUCAAAACUUUCCAUUCCAAUUGGAAUAACAAGAAAAGUCAUCUCACGCGCUGGGACACACUUUGGUUUCAUCAGCUGCCUUCUUUUGAUCUGCAAGAUAUACAAGGCUUCCAGAAUCAAACAGUCAUUUGUGGCUUCCCUAGUAUUCUCCGACUUACUGACUGCUCACCAAAGCACAGAGUGCUCUUAGCUGUCUCUGUGCAAUUUCCUGGCUAAAGGAGAUCUGGAAUGUAAAAGUGUAUUCAUCACCAGAGGUUUUGCAAGAUUCCAGGACUUCAAUGAAGCGGGAAGAGAUUAUUUAAAAUUGGAAUGGCAUGAAGGUUCCUCUGAGUUCUCAACCAACUUUUAGGGUAACUUAACUAACAAGUAAGUAACCCAUAAGAAGAACCAGAAUUAUCUGGGAUUUAAGCAUAAAUAAAAAAAAAAUGCACCAAGUUGUAACUACUGUUAUAACUGUACCAGACAGAUCCUGACCCUUUACUGUGAGCUUCUCAGUAUAGAAAUGGAGGACUUAGUGGCAUGUGGGAAUGUGUACAGUAUGAUGCCUUAACCAUUUAUCAGGAGUGAAACAACUGCAUAUAGUCAAAUACUGAGAAAUGUUUUUGCAUAAGCUGGAUUUUCAACUUCAGUGCUAAGAUCAAAAACAGUGUAACCCAGAGACAGCUUUACUAAGAUGGUGACCCUGGAUCUUACUCCUGUAUUUGAACUCAUUCUAGGCAAAGAAAGCUUUUUCCAGGAUGGUAGGAGGUGCAUGUCCAUGGUAAAUAUGCAUCAGAGGUAAUGUGCUAUCUGUAUACAUUUUGGAAAUUAUUUUAACUUCUGUUGUGAUAGGUAUUGCAUACCAUCUAACAUCAGGAUAUGUAAGAUAGGAACCAGAUGCUGCUCUGUGCUAGUCAGGUGUUCUGGCCUUUUUUUUAAAUUUAUUUUUUACUUUGCUUUUCUGGCACUAAAACUUACUGAGGAAAUGAAAGAUUGUUGCUGUCAUGCUUUUGUGUGUUUGUUUAGCAAAAACAUUUAUGCACCAUAGAUUUGUAUCCAGAAAUACAUUCCUCACUGCUUUAGUGUACUGUAUUAUCUGGACAAAAUGAAAAGGAAAUAGUUGUGAUUCAAAAGAGUUUUACAUACACUUUGCAGAGCUGUACAAACUUACAUGUUCGGUAGGGCAGUGUCUUCUUCACUUCACACCAAUAUAACAACAUUACUCAACUGGAUUGACUUCUGAUUUACUGGGUGAGAAACCUCCAAGGAGUAGUGUGCUGGCCCAUCAUCACCUUCAGUUUUGCUUGCUGGUGCUUGCUGUUUCUGCAUCUUCACAGCCAGAUAUUUGGCUGAGGAACUUUGUGUGUUGUAUAACUAUAGGACUCCAUUUUUCUUUUUGUCUUUUUCCUUUCCCUGCUACUAAGACCUAGAGAUCUGUAAUUAGUUUUCAAGUCAUUCAUGAACUCUGGUUUCUUCCAUGUAGGCUGAGUCCAAUUUGUCUCUGUUUGCUUGAGCACAUUAAAUGACUGAACAGGUUAAUGCAGGUGACUGAGUGGGCACAUCCUAACAAGUUACUGUCCCUCAGCUAAGCUUCAGCUCCUGUGAUUUCACAUGCUCUUGUGUUUCUCCUGCAUCAUGUCAGCCAAGGUAUUUGGGGAUCUGAUCUGGCUAAAAACACCUAGAAAACUUCCAGGUGGACCAGUUCUUUGAUCCCUUCUAUUACAUAGCUGCACAAAGAGCUGUGUUGGCACAGUGCAGGGAGUAGCUCAGGAACAGAGAUGCACAGCAGAGUAAGAACUAUUGAUAUUGGUGCUGCUGACAAAGAAGAAAUCACCAGGCUGUGCCCUACGGCAGCUGUACUGCUUGUUCUGCUGUGUGUCUGAAGGGAAGGAAAAUGCAGUUCUUAUGUGAUCACUGCAAAAUUGAUUAUUCAGCAGAGUUGGUCUUUGAGGCUGGGAUCUGGUGCCAGGCUUCUUCCCACAGAACACAGGAGACCCUUCUGAGGUGUAAGAAAUCCCCUUUUUCCUCCAUACUGGAAAAGGGCCAUCUGACUUUAACCUGGGCACAAGCUAAGAUGGACCCUUUGCCUGAAAACCCCUGAACACUUAGCUCUGAGUGCUUAGAAAUGCAAAUAAAAUUAUUUACAUUUCCCUCAUUCCUUUCUCAAGUACCAAAUUCUGGUUUGCAGUGGUAGCUUUCUAUCCUAUUCUUAUGCUGUUCAUGGGCAUCUUCCUCCUUUCAUUUAGGAGCUCCCUCUGAAACAUCCAGCAAUAGUUUCAGGCAAAGGAGCCUUGAACUUUGGGUAAAUUCAGAAACUUAGAAAACUCUAAGUACUGUAAUUCCUGGGUAUCUCAUUAGAAUUGCACAUUACUACAGAGUAGGAAAAUAGCAAAAUGUAAGGGUUCUUAAAGUUUUGGUGGGAUCCCUUGGCAGCAAAUAUACAAAGGUUUAAUUGAAAGAAUUUCUGAACCAAGUUAACCUGUGUAUUGAUUGUCCCCUCUCAGUUGUCUCAUCUCAAGGCUGAACAUGCCCAGCUCCCUCAGCCUUUCCUCAUGAGAGAGAUGCUCCUGUCCCCUCAUGAUAUUUGUAGCUCUUUGGGCAAAAACUGUAGUUAAAAAACCCACUCCAGGAGCUCUGUGUGGUCACAGCACUGCAGAUGGACCUCACCAGGGCUCAGCAGAGUGCAGUACACCAGGUGUAUAUGGACCAGGCCUUGGGUCAACCACUGCAAUUACCUGAGUUAUCCAUUCUCCGUGUGGUUGAAUGAACGUAUUUGGUAAAACAUCUCAUCAAAUAGGCAUGUUUAUGGAGUAUUUUGGGCUGUUCUCUUGCCUGGCUUCAAAAUUUAUUUUUUAAAAUUGUCAGGGUGCAGCCACGUUUCAGAAAAGGCUUUGGGAUUUCAAGCAUGGUACAAAAGGAAGUCACUCCUCAGCUCUCAGUUCAGGGCCAGAGGGUUUUAGCUCCAGCUUUGAUGGAGCCCCCUUUGUGGAUCCAGCAUUUAAGCUGAGCUGCAUGGUUUUUGCGUCAGUUCCUCCCCUCCAGCAAUAGUACUGUAAGCUCCCAUGUAUCUCUGGGAUUCUUGACACAGUCUGAUCCUGUCUUUGAAGUGAGGUGACUGAUACAUAUUACCC
rnacentral:lncRNA from 1 species